rnacentral:rRNA from 1 species
UGGGGAAUCUUGCGCAAUGGGGGAAACCCUGACGCAGCGACGCCGCGUGAGUGAUGAAGGCCUUCGGGUCGUAAAGCUCUGUGGGGAGGGACGAAUAAGUAUUGGCUAACAUCCAAUAUGAUGACGGUACCUCCUUAGCAAGCACCGGCUAACUCUGUGCCAGCAGCCGCGGUAAGACAGAGGGUGCAAACGUUGUUCGGAAUUACUGGGCGUAAAGCGCGUGUAGGCGGCGUAGCAAGUCGGGCGUGAAAGCCCACGGCUCAACCGUGGAAGAGCACUCGAAACUGCUGCGCUAGAGUUCUGGAGAGGAAGGCGGAAUGCUUGGUGUAGAGGUGAAAUUCGUAGAUAUCAAGCGGAACACCGGUGGCGAAGGCGGCCUUCUGGACAGUGACUGACGCUGAAACGCGAAAGCGUGGGGAGCAAACAGGAUUAGAUACCCUAGUAGUCCCUGAGCGGGCUGGCAAGGCGCAU